UACGUAGGGCGCAAGCGUUGUCCGGAAUUAUUGGGCGUAAAGAGCGUGUAGGCGGCCCGGUAAGUCCGCUGUGAAAGUCGGGGGCUCAACCCUCGAAUGCCGGUGGAUACUGUCGGGCUAGAGUGCGGAAGAGGCGAGUGGAAUUCCUGGUGUAGCGGUGAAAUGCGCAGAUAUCAGGAGGAACACCAAUUGCGAAGGCAGCUCGCUGGGACGUAACUGACGCUGAGACGCGAAAGCGUGGGGAGCAAACAGG
rnacentral:rRNA from 1 species